UUGAACAUGAGAGUUUGAUCCUGGCUCAGAACGAACGCUGGCGGCAGGCUUAACACAUGCAAGUCGAACGCUCG
rnacentral:rRNA from 1 species